rnacentral:tRNA from 1 species
AGGGAAGAAGCUUCAUUCAGCAAUUAGCUGUUACCUAAUCCGUAGUGAUAUAAUAUCACCUGCCCUA